AGCAGCCGCGGUAAUUCCAGCUCCAAUAGCGUAUAUUAAAGUUGUUGCAGUUAAAAGCUCGUAGUUGAAUUUCGGGGUUAGUAGGUUGGUCAUGCCUCUGGUAUGUACUGGUCUCACUGAUUCCUCCUUCCUGAUGAACCUUAAUGCCAUUUAUUUGGUGUUUUGGGGAAUUUGGACUGUUACUUUGAAAAAUUAGAGUGUUUAAAGCAAGCUAACGCUUGAAUACAUUAGCAUGGAAUAAUGAAAUAGGACGUUCGAUCCUAUUUUGUUGGUUUCUAGGAUUGACGUAAUGAUUAAUAGGGAUAGUUGGGGGCAUUAGUAUUCAAUUGUCAGAGGUGAAAUUCUUGGAUUUAUUGAAGACUAACUACUGCGAAAGCAUUUGCCAAGGAUGUUCUCAUUAAUCAAGAACGAAAGUUAGGGGAUCGAAGACGAUCAGAUACCGUCGUAGUCUUAACCAUAAACUAUGCCGACUAGGGAUCGGAUGAUGUUAAUUUUUAAUGACUCAUUCGGCGCCUUACGG
rnacentral:misc_RNA from 1 species